GGUUCUGCGUGGAAGGGCCAUCGCUCAACGGAUAAAAGCUACCCUGGGGAUAACAGGCUUAUCUCCCCCAAGAGUCCACAUCGACGGGGAGGUUUGGCCCCUCGAUGUCGGCUCAUCACAUCCUGGGGCUGUAGUAGGUCCCAAGGGUUGGGCUGUUCGCCCAUUAAAGUGGUACGCGAGCUGGGUUCAGAACGUCGUGAGACAG
rnacentral:rRNA from 1 species